CCAAUAGCGUAUAUUAAAGUUGUUGCAGUUAAAAAGCUCGUAGUUGAAUUUCGAGAUCAAUAUGUCGGUCGUGCUUAGGUACGUACUGGCAUUAUUGAUUUCUCCCUUCUGAUGAACCAUGAUGACAUUAAUUUGGUGUUCUGGGGAAUCAGGACUGUUACCUUGAAAAAAUUAGAGUGUUUAAAGCAGGCUCACGCUUGAAUACAUUAGCAUGGUAUAAUGAAAUAGGUCGUUUGAUUCUAUUUUGUUGGUUUCUAGGAUCGACGUAAUGAUUAAUAGGGAUAGUUGGGGGCAUUAGUAUUCAAUUGUCAGAGGUGAAAUUCUUGGAUUUAUUGAAGACUAACUACUGCGAAAGCAUUUGCCAAGGAUGUUUUCAUUAAUCAAGAACGAAAGUUAGGGGAUCGAAGACGAUCAGAUACCGUCGUAGUCUUAACCAUAAACUAUGCCGACUAGGGAUCGGAUGAUGUUAAUUUUUUAAUGACUCAUUCGGCGCCUUACG
rnacentral:rRNA from 1 species